rnacentral:misc_RNA from 1 species
AAAGUCGUAACAAGGUUUCCGUAGGUGAACCUGCGGAAGGAUCAUUAUUGAAAUAAACCUGAUGGGUUGUUGCUGGUUCUCUAGGGAGCAUGUGCACGCCUGGCCAUCUUUAUAUCUCCACCUGUGCACCUUUUGUAGACCUUCCGGGUCUAUGUUGCUUCAUUUACCCCAAUGUAUGUUAAUAGAAUGUUGUGACUAUAUAAAAAUAUACAACUUUCAGCAACGGAUCUCUUGGCUCUC